GCUCCAUCAGAGGAAAGGUAGGGUGUGGCCCUGAUUCUGACAGAGCAGAAAGAGAGACUGAAAUGUCAGCAUGGCUGGGACGGAGUCCUGAGGGGAUGCUGGACUAGUGACACCUGGCUUUCUCCCAUUAAACAGCAAAAAUAUGUGAGGUGUUAGCAACAGUCAGGAAAAAAUACCCUAAUAAAAAUUACAAGUGGUAUCCUGAUUUAUUAGUAGCAAACCUUUCUAAUGUACUUCAGUGACCCUGAAAACAGAUGAUGGCCCUGUGACACCCCAGUGACUUAGCAGUGGAAUCCAAUCUCUGCACCAUGACGCAAACCCGGAUUCCAGGCCUGGUCUUUUCUGGGAAGUCCUGGAUAGAUUUUUCAGAGACACAACUAGGUUCCAGGAAUCUUCCGUGAUAAAAUGCUGAGGCGUUUCCAUUUACUCCACUCCAGUCUCCUUACGCAAGAGGCAAAGUUGAAAGUAAAAGUUGAAAAUUCUCAGUUGACACCAGAGGAAGAGAAGCACCCAUGCCGCUCACUCCGCUCAGCUGGGUGAUGAACUACCCACAUGGCACCCUCCCAGGCCCGUCUAGCCACUUACAUUUUUCAGUAUUCUGCAACUCCACACCAGGGAUGAAACUAGACAAAAUUCUUUUUACUGUUCUCCCAAAAGAUUGUAUGAUGACCACCCAGAGUUUGAGGGUCAUUUGCUUUACUGGGUCCACCACCAAUUCAAAUGCUAAUCUCUUCUGGAAGUAUCCUCACAGACAUACAGAGAAAUAACGCUUAGUUGGAUAUCUUGGCAUGCUUUGGCUUUUCCUUUGGGACACCUGUCUUGCUCCAGGGACUUUAACAAUAGCAUCCAUUGCAAAAGCAAUGAUCAGCCACACACUUCUUUGACAGCUCUCCGUUGUGGUUGCUGUUUCUAGGUUACUGUCCAGGCUAUGUGGGGAGAAGUGGAGGAGGCAGCUGGUCUUGCGUCUCUCAUCACAUGUCAGGGGAGCCUGGAUCUCUUCACGUGGCAGCAAGAGAUUUUAAAAUGCAACAAAAGAAGUUGAUUCCCAAACCCUACAUGUUUUACUUGGGCUAGAACAAAUCCCAUUGCCAAGUGUAGAAACGAUAUGACCUGGUCCCACCCAAGGUGGGUGGAUAAAGAGGUGUGAAAAUA